CAGCAGCCGCGGUAAUACGUAGGUGGCAAGCGUUGUCCGAAUUACUGAGUGUAAAGGGAGCGUAGGCGGGAAGGCAAGUUGGAUGUGAAAACUGUGGGCUCAACCGACAGACUGCAUUCAAAACUGUUUUUCUUGAGUGCUGUAGAGGCAAGCGGAAUUCCUAGUGUAGCGGUGAAAUGCGUAGAUAUUAGGAGGAACACCAGUGGCGAAGGCGGCUUGCUGGGCUUUUACUGACGCUGAGGCUCGAAAGUGUGGGGAGCAAACAGGAUUAGAUACCCUGGUAGUCCACACUCGUAAACGAUGAUUACUAGGUGUGGGGGCGUCAAGCUUCCGUGCCGGAGUUAACACUAAUAAGUAAUCCACCUGGGGAGUACGGCCGCAAGGUUGAAGCUCAAAGAAAUUGACGG
rnacentral:rRNA from 1 species